CAGUCGCCACGGUAAUACGUAGGUGGCAAGCGUUGUCCGGAAUUAUUGGGCGUAAAGGGCUCGCAGGCGGUUUCUUAAGUCUGAUGUGAAAGCCCCCGGCUCAACCGGGGAGGGUCAUUGGAAACUGGGAAACUUGAGUGCAGAAGAGGAGAGUGGAAUUCCACGUGUAGCGGUGAAAUGCGUAGAGAUGUGGAGGAACACCAGUGGCGAAGGCGACUCUCCGGUCUGUAACUGACGCUGAGGAGCGAAAGCGUGGGGAGCGAACAGGAUUAGAUACCCCUGUAGUCCCUGUCUCUUAUAC
rnacentral:rRNA from 1 species